AUUGAACGCUGGCGGCAGGCCUAACACAUGCAAGUCGAGCGAGCGGCGGACGGGUGAGUAAUGCCUGGGAAUUGCCCAGUCGAGGGGGAUAACAGUUGGAAACGACUGCUAAUACCGCAUACGAUUGGAUUGCCCAGGUGGGAUUAGCUAGUUGGUGAGGUAAUGGCUCACCAUGGCGACGAUCCCUAUCUGGUCUGAGAGGCUGAUCAGCCAAACUGGAACGGAUACACGGUCAAGACUCCUAAGGGAGGCAGCAGUGGCGAAGAUUGCACCAUGGGGGAAAACCUGAGGCAUCCAUUCCGCGUGUGUGAAGAAGGCCUUCGGGUUGUAAAGCACUUUCAGCGAGGAGGCGUUACUCGCAGAAGAAGCACCGGCUAACUCCGUGCCAGCAGCCGCGGUAAUUC
rnacentral:rRNA from 1 species